UACGAAGGGGGCUAGCGUUGCUCGGAAUGACUGGGCGUAAAGGGCGCGUAGGCGGAUGGCACAGUCAGAUGUGAAAUUCCCGGGCUUAACCUGGGGGCUGCAUUUGAUACGUGUUGUCUUGAGUUCGGAAGAGGGUCGUGGAAUUCCCAGUGUAGAGGUGAAAUUCGUAGAUAUUGGGAAGAACACCGGUGGCGAAGGCGAUCAUCUGGGGCUGUUCUGACGCUGAGGAGCGAAAGCUAGGGGAGCAAACGGG
rnacentral:rRNA from 1 species